rnacentral:rasiRNA from 1 species
UGUGUUCCAAAACGAAAUGUGCUCC